rnacentral:rRNA from 1 species
CCUACGGGUGGCUGCAGUGAGGAAUAUUGGUCAAUGGCCGUAAGGCUGAACCAGCCAUGCCGCGUGAAGGAAGACUGCCCUAUUGGUUGUAAACCUCUUUUAUGCGGGGGUAAAGGUGUCUACGUGUAGUUGUUUGCAGGUACCGUAUGAAUAAGGACCGGCUAAGUCCGUGCCAGCAGCCGCGGUAAUACGGAGGGUCCGGGCGUUAUCCGGAUUUAUUGGGUUUAAAGGGUGCGUAGGCCGGUCUUUAAGCUAGAAGUGAAAUUUUGUGGCUCAACUAUGGAAGUGCCGCGCGUACUGGAGAGCUUGAGUGCGCAGGAGGCAGGCGGAAUGCGUGGUGUAGCGGUGAAAUGCUUAGAGAUCACGAAGAACACCGAUUGCGAAGGCAGCUUGCCACAGCAUUACUGACGCUGAAGCACGAAAGCGCGGGUAGCGAACAGGAUUAGAUACCCGGGUAGUC